CCGAAACAGGCAAUGUGGAGGUUGGGAUGAUGGUAGCAAUGCGCCAGACGAUGACGAGUAAUGUCAGUGUCUGCAUACUCGUUUUUGUCAUGGGUGUAUCGGGACGCAAGGCUGGUCUGGGGAAGUACAUGGUAGCCCACACAUGGUUUGAAAAGGUUCGGACAAUGACAUAGUGCGUAGAGUCGUGUGGCGUAAGUUCGUGUGUGGUGGCGCUUCACAUCAUGAUGCAUUGCAGGUCGUCCCAACACUAACGUAUACUUAAUCUGCCUCCCCCUCACCCCAUCUUUCCUUUCCCCCAGGACGGUGUCGUCAGCGGGGGUCCUGGGCGCCCACCUGCUGUGCUCGCGGGUGCCCGGCCUCACGCCCCGCCAGAGCCGCAUCUGUACGCGGGCGCCUGACGCCAUGGUGGCCAUCAGUGAAGGUGCGAGGGCGGGCCUGCGAGAGUGCCAGCGGCAGUUCCAGCAUCAUCGGUGGAACUGCUCCCUCGCGUCUACCAGCAGCAGCGCGUUCGGCCACAUCGUUCUUGUGGGGAGCCGCGAGGCCGCCUACAUGUAUGCGGUGACCAGCGCGGGAGUCACCCACAGCGUCACGACCGCCUGCUUUCGUGGCAACAUCUCCACCUGUGGCUGUGACGACCGCAGGCGAGGGCGGUACAGUUCUUCCGGGUGGAAAUGGGGCGGCUGCAGCGCCGACAUUAGGUUCGGGGUCAGGUUCGCGAAGAAGUUCCUGGACGCCCGCGAGGUGGAGGGGGACGGCCGCGCCCUCAUGAACCUGCACAACAACCGGGCGGGACGCAGGGCGGUGCGGAGCGGGAUGAGGACGGAGUGCAAGUGCCACGGCGUGUCGGGCUCCUGCACCGUCAAGACCUGCUGGAAGACCCUCCCGCCCUUCACCUUCAUCGGGAAGCACCUCUUCCACAAGUACAGGAAGGCCAAGUCCGUCUCAGUGCAUAAGGCCUGGAGCACCGCUUCACGAGGAAGUAAAUCUGCAUUCCCGACGAGACGAGCGGCGAGGCGGCACCGCGGCUCCAGGCGGGGCGGCGGCUCCUCCGACACCCGCGUCAUGCCCUUCAGCUUCCAGCAGCAGACGAGCGGCUGAACAGACACUCCCCGGGAUGACUGAACGACAGCCAGGCUGGACUGAAUGAUCCAGCAGUUGCUGCAGUUACACUGGGACUUUCCAAAUACAGCAAAACAUACUCGCCACCUUCCUCUUGGCCACCCUGACUGUUGUACAAUUCCAUGUGUGGCCAGGUGUUGCAACCCUCCAAUAAGCACCUGUACCAAUCUGGAUAGAGAUGUGUAGUUCACAGUGUAAGGACAAUCCAGUUGCCAGUCAAACAUCUGGCACUGUUCCCCAAAAGAGCUGACAAACUCCGAGCCAAGUUUUUUUUUCUUUACACUCUGACCUAUAGCGCUGGUAGGCUUUCUUCAGGGGCCUGGUGGUUGACCCAAGCCCGUCAUGGCGCAGGGAAGUGUUUAUAGCAGCACCAUUUCUUCUUGGCUCAUGCUGCCCGCCGGAGCUCAUUCUUGAUUCACUUGGACAGUUCCUCUAGAGUUGGGGUAGAUAGGUGAUCUUCAGGACAGCACGUGGGUAGCCUUAUGUCACUUGGCAAUGACUGAAAAAUCCCAGGUGGUAGCAGAAGAUUUGAACCCGCAUUGUCCAGAACUUGGUGAACGCAGGACCUGCACACUAACCAUUCAGCCACUGCCUCUCUGUUCCAACAUGAGUAAAAAAUGAGAGGCCAGAAGAGAGUGGUUGAUCUCAAAUGGAGAAGUGUCUAGAUAGGCAGGAGGAAAUAGAUGAAGGAGGGCUGCUCUGGAGUUAACCUGCAUAAGGAAUUAGGAUAGUAUAGAGACGAGUAGAACGUUAUGUAAAAAGGGACCACAGUAGAGGUGGAGGCAUGUAGUUAGCAAGCUUAGAAGGGCAAUCAUCAUGAAAAUGUCUGUAGAAGACAGAGGGCAACAUUGCAGCAGAGUUUGCUAUAGAAGAAGAGAGUUUAGGUUUGACUCCAUCGAGUCCAAAACAGCUAUGUGAGUGAAGCCCCUCCUAUAUGAAAUGCGCUCUCCAUACGAGGACAGACAAGGCCCCUGGAUAUCAUUUGUGAGGGGUAAAAAACUGAAAGACUAAUACAGAACACACAACUUCAAAGAAGCUGAUUUAGGAAGAGGUGAGAUGAAAUUAUGAGUUGAGGAUAGACCAAAUAUGUUUAUUGUUUAAGUGGACAGCUGAGUGUUGUCAUAGAAUAGGGAACAGAUGUUCGGAAUUCUAUCCCUCUGUUUUUAUAUCGUGUUUCCUUUCAAGCUAAUCUAUCUUUGCUAUGGUAAUCCUGCCACUGUCUUCCCCUAAACCUCUCAGCACCUGUAUUCUGUACGACUAUUUUAUUUCCCUCUCUGA